AUUGGAAUAGCUAAGCGGUAUAGCAAUCAUUAAUGAUGGGUCGUAGGUUCGAUUCCUACUUUCAGUA
rnacentral:tRNA from 1 species